UCUUAAAGAAAAUAACUUUCUGCCCCUGCCGAACCCACGCACACUGUACAGCUACAUGAAGAACUUGAAAGCUGAUUUUGGGUUUGAUGCACACAUAUUUACUAUACUGAAGGAAAAGCUGCUGACUUCCCCUGAAAGAGAAGGACGAGGUUGGAAAGCGCAUCUCUUAAACUGCAUGUUGUGCUUGUGCCUUUCUGAAAUGAUUCAAAUGACAAUUUUUUUUCUCAGGUGUGCUCAUGUUCGACGAAAUGAGUGUCAGCAAAAGCCUGCACGUCAGAGAGUCUGACAUGAAAGUCCUUGGAAAAGUUGACUGGUGAGCACACCAGGCCAGGAGACCAUGAAAAAAAUAGUGAUCACGUGUUGGUCUUCCUGUUUCGACCCUUUUUGCAUGGAUGGUCACAAACUGUGGGAACUUUCUGUGCAUCGAGCGCCACCCCUGGAUCAGUACAUGCAAAGCUUCUACUGCAAUGUAUUGUACACUUGUCGAAUUCUGGAGCGGUUGUUGAUGCAGUGACAUGUGAUAAUUCGACAACUAAUCGGUCAGCCUUGAGGUCCCUAGAUAUGUAUUUAAUAACAUAGGACUUGUGCUGCAGGCCAGCUAGGACGACUUAAUUUUAUUAGUCUCACAUUUCUUUGCAGGCAUUCAUGGCGACAUCAGAGACAAACGGGUGUCAUUUCAGCGCCCAUGUGACCCCUCUAGGAUGAUUUAUAUUGUCAUUAAUCCACUGCACAUAUUUAAGUGUAUUUGGAACAACCUGCUGAAAGUUGGGAAGGUUUUGCUGCCGCAAGGUCAGGAAGUAUAUCAUCAUCAUUAUGCAGAACUCCUAGAAUAUGAAGAGCAGCAAUCUAGACUGCGUGCUGUGCCAAAGCUCACAAAGGCACAUAUAUACCCAAAUGCUUUCCAGAAAAUGAGCGUCAAACUUGCUGUUCAGUUCAGUGAAUCCACAGCUACAGUGAUGAAAUUCUACAGUGAGCAGGAAGCAUGCAAAAAGCUCCAUGCAUCUGCAGCAACAUAUGAAUUCACCAGGAGGAUGAACAAAUUAUUUGACUGCUUGAACUCUCAAAGGCCUGAGCAUGUGCAGUACAAUGAAGCUGAACAUGUUGCUACACUGAAAGAGAGCGUUGCAUGGCUUGACAGCUGCUGCACUACAUAAAAAGUCUGCCGAAGCAGAGGCAGAUUUGCUUUUUGAGCAAGCCGACAUGGGAGGCUCUAAGAGUAACCCUGCUCAGUACUAUAUCUCUUGUUGAGAACCUUCUUAAAGCAGGUUUUCGCUAUGCACUGGUGGGAAAGUUUGGACAGGACCCAUUAGAGAGAUUUUUUGGCAUUGUCAGACAUGUUGCCAGUGAUGGAGGACAGCCGACAGUCCAGCAAUUCCUAUUUCUAUAUAGGAUGCUUUCUGUGAAGAAUCUUGUCCAGCCGCCCAAGCGAUCCUCUGUAGCUGGAGAUGGUCCACAACUGCUCCUCAAGCUGCAAGAUUUAUUCAACAAAGAAAAGCCUACUGGGGCCUGUCAUGUGAACAACAAUAUAUCUGGAGCAAUAUUUCCUAAACAUAAUGAAAUCAAGCAGGCCUUUUUAUUUCCUUAACUAAGUGUACGUCAUAGUUCUUCUGCAUAGAAUUAUGUGCAAGUCCCUUCAUUUCUGGCCACAUUAAGUUGUAUGGGCAUCGCAUGUAUGGCAGGGCACUGUGCAUUGCAUGCAGCAUCAUGAAUGGAUGAUUUUGCAGCUGUUGAUUUAGAAAAGCCAUGCCGAUUUUUGAUAAAGCCUAGUUGUGGUUGUCAUGGUAAAGCUGUAUAACAAUACAAGGCAUCCAGUAAAUUUGUUGCAUUGUGUGCGGGCUGUUGACCACACCAACAAUAUAGUAUUUGUAUUUCAGGCUGAUUCUUUGGCUAUUCUUCUGGAUGAAGUCCUCUUGGAACCUGCAGAAACUGUGGAGGAGGCUUCAGUUCUCUGCCAUUAGCAGUCCCCAAAAGAAUGCAUAAGGGAUUGCCUUGCCGGCUAUGUCGCAAAAAAGUUUUCUUCGUUGAGCUGCUCGAGCUGUGUAGGAACAAUGAGAAGUUUUGAACAAGCGGCAACUGGCCUGAUUCUUGCAAAAUCCAAAGGUGGUCUACAAGUGCCCUCCAGCCACCUAGUCGCUCUCCUCCAAAUUGUGGAAGAUCAUUUGGAAGUGUACACAGUUGACAAAACUGCCUGUUCUGAUGUGUACGUUAAUAUUGUGGAGAAUGUUUUGAUGGACAGUCGUACUGCUACAGCUGCUGUCGGCUGCAAAUCGCACUUUGUAAGCCCCACUGCAGAAGUAGUUCAGUUUUUUCUUAAGACCCGCUUGCAUUUUUUCACGAGAGAAAAAAAAAGCAGAUGCAAGCAAAGGGGUGAGCUUCAUGUCCAGCAGGGGUGGUAGGAAACCAACCAGUUGAAGGGGUACCAGUUAAAGGGGCGCAGUAGGUAUCACGAUUAUCGUGUAAAGGCGACCACUUACAAAAAAUUGCAAUGCUGAUGAUGAAAGAGAACAAGGGUGUUGCGAGAUCUGAGCAGGGCAUUGAUAAAAACACAUUUGCUUUAUACUUUGUUGCAACCUCAAUUUGUGUUAUACCAGGAUAGAGUAGUUCACAGCAAUAGCGCCCUUACCGCGACCAUCUAUGAAAGGUAUAGCAUUAGAAUUCCUUUAAUGCAAGUGUUAAAACAAUAAUAUGCAUUGUUUUAUUUUCCAUUGUCCUUUAGUCUUGGCUAUUGAUGGGCUACAAUUCUUCAAUUGCAUGUACUUUUAAGUCUGUAUGCUGCUAUAAAUAAGAAGGUUAUUAGCACACUGUUAGCUAUAUUUGCAUUAUUAUUUCCUGAGCAAGUUGUGUGUGCAUGUUUAAGUAACAGCUGAAGAAGUAGAAAGGUGGUAUCUCUAACAAGCCAUUUAAAAAAAACAUUGCUGUAUUUGUGAUGUGGCUACUUGUGUUCGUUUGAGAGUUGUUUAGCCGUGUGUUAUAAAAUGCUUAUGCUUUACACUUUCUUGUUUAUAGAAACAAUCGAUAUGCAUUCUGUAUUUAUUGCCAUUCGUUUGCUGAUGUUUGUUUCCUGCCCCCCAAUGCAUACCUCUCACGUUUGAUCUUAUUUUUUUAUGCUUAUUAUAUCAGGUCAUGCUUUUAACAAACUUCUUGAAUUGUGAAUGAUGGACCAUUCAUGACUGGACGCCUCUGUGCUGUCUGUAUUUCUCUCCGCUUAUUUUACAUCAUAAAUAAAUGAUCGUGCUUGUAUGUUGUUUUUGCACCAA